UUCAUUACUUUUUCAUAAACAAUUACAGCUUUCAACUAGUUAACGCCUACAAUUAAACUGCUUAUUGUACAACUGAGAUGAUAGUUUAGAUACAAUUUGACUAAUUUACAGUUACGAGUGACGACUGAAGAGAGCUGAGAGUUGAGAGAUGAGUGACGAGUCGAGUCAGCGAGAUGAGUGACGAGUCGGCGUCGGCGAGAUGAGUGACGAGUCGGCGUCGGCGAUCAACAUAUGUGUAAUCUGCAUUACUGAGAAAGGUGAGUCGGCAUCGGAGUCGGCGUAUGUAAAUGUGUAAUAUUAUCAAUUUAGGGAUUUAUCAUCAAUUGAUAGGAAAUUAGUAAUUUGGCCGACUGGGAAUGGGUAAUUGGGUUUGGAAUUUGGGUAGUUGGGCUGAGACUUAGGAAAUUGGAUAGUUGGGCUGAAAAUACUAGUUUGUGAGCUACUGGGAUGGGCCGACUAGGAAUGGGUAACAUAUAUACAUAUACAAAAUUUUGAUUUUUCGGUUAAUCGAAUUUUUAAAUCUAAAAACCAAAAACUGAACCGGGAAAUUGAAAUAUUAAAAUUUUAAAUCGAAACCGAGUGAAAUAACCGAAAAACCAAAACCAAAAUUAAAAAAAAUGGUUCGGUCGGUUUUUUUCAGUUUAAACCAUAUUAUGCCCUAUCCCUACUUAGGUCAAAGAAGAAAUCAUAGACCAAAAGUAAUUCUUUUUAGUUGUUCAUAGUUUUCGAUAGCGUGUUAGCUUUUUAAGCAUCGAAGUUCCUCAUUCAAUUUUGGAUCAUCUUCAUAAAAGUAAAUGCUAUUCAAAUUCAUUUUGCAUCUUCCGUGGAUAAUCCUAACAAAAAGAAAUAUAAAUCAGAAAAAAGAAAUUAGAAGUCCUAAUUGACAAUAAAACAAACAAGACGAACAAAAAAAAUCGAAAGUAAAGAAAAUAAUUCAUUUAAUCUAAAACUUGCCCAUGAAUCCCUUCAAUAGUGAUACUUUCAGAUUUGUAUUCGAGUAAAAGAUAAAGAAGGUAAAAUGAAAUGAUAUGUGGGUAUUCGAGCGAAAGAGAAAG
rnacentral:lncRNA from 1 species